rnacentral:rRNA from 1 species
GUGGGGAAUAUUGGGCAAUGGGCGAAAGCCUGACCCAGCAACGCCGCGUGAGGGAAGAAGGCCUUCGGGUUGUAAACCUCUGUCCUUGGUGACGAAGAAAGUGACGGUAGCCAAGGAGGAGGCCCCGGCUAACUACGUGCCAGCAGCCGCGGUAAUACGUAGGGGGCGAGCGUUGUCCGGAAUUACUGGGCGUAAAGGGUGCGUAGGUGGCCUUUUAAGUUGGAUGUGAAAUACCCGGGCUUAACUUGGGGGGUGCAUCUAAUACUGGGAGGCUAGAGUGCAGGAGAGGGAAGCGGAAUUCCUAGUGUAGCGGUGAAAUGCGUAGAUAUUAGGAGGAACACCAGUGGCGAAGGCGGCUUUCUGGACUGUAACUGACACUGAGGCACGAAAGCGUGGGGAGCAAACAGGAUUAGAUACCCUAGUAGUCC